CACGGGGGGAGCAAGCGUUGUUCGGAAUCACUGGGCGCAAAGGGCGUGUAGGCGGUCAGGUAAGUGGGAUGUGAAAUGCCCCGGCUCACCCGGGGACCGGCAUCCCAUACUGCUUGGCUUGAGUACGGGAGAGGAUGUGGGAAUUCCUGGUGUAGCGGUGAAAUGCGUAGAUAUCAGGAGGAACACCGGUGGCGAAGGCGCACAUCUGGCCCGAUACUGACGCUGAGGCGCGAAAGCUAGGGGAGCAAACGGG
rnacentral:rRNA from 1 species